CUUAGACAGACCUGGCCCCGGCCAGGACCCCGAAACUCAGAGGCUACUUCCGGAAACAGCCGCCAGGAGGCGCCUGGGACCAGUGCUAAAGUGAGAAUCGUUAGCGACCUGAGAGAUUGGGACGCCUAGACGCCUAGAGUUUGCGUGAUCAUCCCGAAGAAAAGGAGCCUGGCUCCUCCCCUGACUAAAUGAAGCUUUAUUGAGAACUGAAAUAAAGACAAGGAUGCUGAUAUUCCAUCCUGGGGUCAGCAAAAUGGUA